AAACAUUGAGCUGUGAUAGCAAGGGGAUUUAUCCCUGAGUCCCUGAUUUCACGCUGCCAAGAAAAGCCUCUAGCGAGGCGGGAGGUGCCUGUACCGCAAACCGACACAGGUAGGCGAGGAGAGAAUCCUAAGGUGAUCGAGAGAACUCUCGUUAAGGAACUCGGCAAAAUGACCCCGUAACUUCGGGAGAAGGGGUGCUCUGGUAGGGUGUUAAAGCCCGAGAGAGCCGCAGUGAAUAGGCCCAGGCGACUGUUUAGCAAAAACACAGGUCUCUGCAAAACCGCAAGGUGAAGUAUAGGGGCUGACGCCUGCCCGGUGCUGGAAGGUUAAGAGGAGAGGUCAGCGCAAGCGAAGCUUCGAAUUGAAGCCCCAGUAAACGGCGGCCGUAACUAUAACGGUCCUAAGGUAGCGAAAUUCCUUGUCGGGUAAGUUCCGACCCGCACGAAAGGCGUAACGAUCUGGGCACUGUCUCAACGAGAGACUCGGUGAAAUUAUAAUACCUGUGAAGAUGCAGGUUACCCGCGACAGGACGGAAAGACCCCGUGGAGCUUUACUGUAACCUGAUAUUGAAUUCCGGUGCAGCCUGUACAGGAUAGGUAGGAGCCUUGGAUUCCGGAGCGCUAGCUUCGGAUGAGGCGUUGGUGGGAUACUACCCUGGCUGUAUUGGACUUCUAACCCAUGCCCCUUAUCGGGGCAGGAGACAGUGUCAGGCGGGCAGUUUGACUGGGGCGGUCGCCUCCUAAAGAGUAACGGAGGCGCCCAAAGGUUCCCUCAGAAUGGUCGGACAUCAUUCGUAGAGCGCAAAGGCAUAAGGGAGCUUGACUGCGAGACCUACAAGUCGAGCAGGGUCGAAAGACGGGCUUAGUGAUCCGGUGGUUCCGCAUGGAAGGGCCAUCGCUCAAUGGAUAAAAGCUACCCCGGGGAUAACAGGCUUAUCUCCCCCAAGAGUCCACAUCGACGGGGAGGUUUGGCACCUCGAUGUCGGCUCAUCGCAUCCUGGGGCUGUAGUCGGUCCCAAGGGUUGGGCUGUUCGCCCAUUAAAGCGGUACGCGAGCUGGGUUCAGAACGUCGUGAGACAGUUCGGUCCCUAUCCGCCGCGGGCGCAGGAAAUUUGAGAGGAGCUGUCCUUAGUACGAGAGGACCGGGAUGGACAUACCUCUGGUGUACCAGUUGUCUUGCCAAAGGCAUCGCUGGGUAGCUAUGUAUGGACGGGAUAAAUGCUGAAAGCAUCUAAGCAUGAAGCCCCCCUCGAGAUGAGAUUUCCCAUUACGCAAGUAAGUAAGAUCCCUCAAAGAAGAUGAGGUUGAUAGGUCUGGGGUGGAAGCGCGGCGACGUGUGGAGCUGAUGGAUACUAAUCGAUCGAGGACUUAACCU
rnacentral:rRNA from 1 species